UACAGAGGGGGCAAGCGUUAUUCGGAAUUAUUGGGCGUAAAGGGCGCGUAGGCGGCUUGGCAAGUGGAAGGUGAAAUCCCUCGGCUUAACCGAGGAACUGCCUUCCAGACUGCUUUGCUUGAGGCCGGGAGAGGUGAGUGGAAUUCCCAGUGUAGCGGUGAAAUGCGUAGAUAUUGGGGGGAACACCAGUGGCGAAGGCGGCUCACUGGACCGGUUCUGACGCUGAGGCGCGAAAGCGUGGGGAGCAAACGGG
rnacentral:rRNA from 1 species